rnacentral:rRNA from 1 species
UACGUAGGGUGCGAGCGUUGUCCGGAAUUAUUGGGCGUAAGGGGCUCGUAGGCGGUUUGUCGCGUCGGGAGUGAAAACUCAGGGCUUAACCCUGAGCCUGCUUCCGAUACGGGCAGACUAGAGGUAUGCAGGGGAGAACGGAAUUCCUGGUGUAGCGGUGAAAUGCGCAGAUAUCAGGAGGAACACCGGUGGCGAAGGCGGUUCUCUGGGCAUUACCUGACGCUGAGGAGCGAAAGUGUGGGGAGCGAACAGG